UACGGAGGGUGCAAGCGUUAUCCGGAUUCACUGGGUUUAAAGGGUGCGUAGGCGGGUUGGUAAGUCAGUGGUGAAAUCUUCAAGCUUAACUUGGAAACUGCCGUUGAUACUAUCAAUCUUGAAUAUUGUGGAGGUAAGCGGAAUAUGUCAUGUAGCGGUGAAAUGCUUAGAUAUCGGGAAGAACACCCGUGGCUAAGGCGGCUCUCUAGUACGGUACUGACGCUGAGACGCGAAAGCGUGGGGAGCGAACAGG
rnacentral:rRNA from 1 species